GACGAACGCUGGCGGCGUGCUUAACACAUGCAAGUCGAACGGAAAGGCCCUGCUUUUGUGGGGUGCUCGAGUGGCGAACGGGUGAGUAACACGUGAGUAACCUGCCCUUGACUUUGGGAUAACUUCAGGAAAUUGGGGCUAAUACCGGAUAGGAGCUCCUGCUGCAUGGUGGGGGUUGGAAAGUUUCGGCGGUUGGGGAUGGACUCGCGGCUUAUCAGCUUGUUGGUGGGGUAGUGGCUUACCAAGGCUUUGACGGGUAGCCGGCCUGAGAGGGUGACCGGCCACAUUGGGACUGAGAUACGGCCCAGACUCCUACGGGACGCAGCAGUGGGGAAUAUUGCACAAUGGGCGGACGCCUGAUGCAGCAACGCCGCGUGCGGGAUGCCGGCCUUCGGGUUGUAAACCGCUUUCGCAUGUGACGAAGCGUGAGUGACGGUAAUGGGUAAAGAAGCACCGGCUAACUACGUG
rnacentral:rRNA from 1 species